GGUCAACUAAUAUUCUGAAUUUAUGUUAAAACAAUGAACAAACACAGAUUAGCCUAUAAAGAGGAUAGAUUCUGACCUUCUUGCCUCGAAUAACAGCUCCUGGCUCACCUUGGAUAACCAUGUACUUCGUUCCACCAAGGUACAAACCAGUUGGAGCAAGAGAUCCAGGUUCAUCAAAGUCUUUCAUAAUUGCAGAAAUCUCUUCAGGCUUGUACUGCAUAAUUUAUGUUAAUAAAGCUCAUUCAUUGAUUAUAUAACAGAUCCAAAGAGAACCUAAUAAAAAUGCUUUGCAGCAUCACCAGCUAGUGCAUUUUAUUGUUUGUACUGGUGAUAGUCUGUAAACAAGAAAUCUUAGAAUGUUGCAGGACAGGGGGGAAUAAAACAUACUGUGGAAAGGCAUCUCUCCAAUUCCAUGGGUUAAAAGAAAUUUUAUUAUUCACCAUGAAUGCAACCAACUGAACUUAAGAAUCCACUUAACUUCAUGUUGCAGGAAAGGGGGGAGCAAAACAUCCUUUGACAGAAACUCUAUCAAUCAUUUUCUAUCAUAGCAUCUGCAUUGUGCUAGAAUUUGAUAUCAACACUCAAGUUUCUCACAUUAAUGUACUGUUUGGCAACCUGUUAUAAUCCAACAUUUUAGUUAAACAAAUUCAUGUAGGUCAGUCAUCACUACAUCACCAAAGAAAGCCUUUUCAGCAAGUGAUAUCAAACACAGACUAUACGAAGGAUCCGCUAAAACCAAAACUUGAGAAAAGUAGGAAAAGAAAAAAGUUAACAUAUAAAAAUGAAUAUCGCAACAAUAAAUUGGAUUUAUUAGGUCAAAUAUUUUGGAUAGUUUCCAUAAUUUAUCAUUCAAUAACUGAAACAAAUAUUUUUUUUAAAAUGAGGAUUGAUGAUUCAAACUGCAUAAUCUCUUCUAAUCACCAAAGAUUGAUAUCUUAUAUUCAUAAAUAUGAUCGUAAAUGCCACCACGAGAACUGGAAGCACAUGAUGAAGAACGUCCAUCAUCAAAUCUUCUCCCCAUCAAUCGUUGGCAAUCAAUCCCCGCAUGAGUUGGCGGCUGGGAUUCUGCACGGUCCAAGACCAACGAAUCGCUCGUAAUUAUUUUGGGCAAUGGAUUCGUCAGAUAACAUGAUACCGUAACACAAAGGUAAGCUAUUCUACUUGUACGCAGACAAAAUCACAAACCCAAGCAGGCCGAUCGCACAACAAAAUGGGAAUCAUAGAUUAGAACCCCUCAAGAAUGAUGAUGAGCCCGGAGAGGACAACUCCGAUCCAACAUCAGACCAAAGCACAACAGAUCAACCAAAUCAGCCGCUUCGAUGAUCACCCGUCAGAUUCAAACAUCACAAACAAAUGCAGCUAAUCGACUCCAACAACAACUAAGGGGGGAGCGAAUCAAAUUAAAAGCGUGUAGCUAGGGGGAAGGGAAGGAUACCCGAGGGAAGGAGUCGCUCUGGGCCCAGACGCUGCCGUCAUGACCAACGAUGGCGGCGGAGGUGAGGCGCUGCCCAUCGAUGUCG
rnacentral:lncRNA from 1 species